UUUUCAAGGCCAGCUGGGGGUUGCAGGUGUCUGUGCCCAGCUCCCGCUCAGGUCUCCGACUGGUGGCCGGCGAGGUGACAGGGCCGUUAAUGUGGUCAGCCCUGAGGAGCCAGGAGGUCUGGGGGCCGCGUUCUCAAGAUCAUCAAGAAAUUAAUUUCUUCCACCUGGUGGGGGUGUCUGGCAUCUGGAAAACUUCAGGAAAGACGCGUGAGGUACUAUUUUUCUGGGCACUUCAGAGAUAAGGGACAGCAGGGGAUCUGAGGGAGGGGUCUGUCCCAGGAAGGCCCCAGAGGGUCCCGCUUGGUUACAGUGGCAGCCCAGCCCCAGGACCCACCAGCAGCUCCAUCCUCCCCCACCUCCAGCACCCAUCUCCUACCUGAGGUGCCUGGCCCUGCUCAGCCUCCCCGAAAUGACAGCUACCGUGGAGAGGACAGCUACUGUGGAGACGGCCAGCACGAAGGUGCCACUGUCCCUCCCGACAAGACUGUAGGUGAUGGGUGGGCUGCCCGAGGAUGCCCAGCACGACACCUUCACCCAAGGGCCCGACGGGCCUCCGUCCAGCAGGAUGAAGUUAACCAGCAGCUGGGACACGGGCUCUGGCAGGUGCGACAGGGAGACUUUAACCCCCUCUCCCGAGCAGAUCCCCUCACUGCACAGCCCCACGAGCCUAGAGGCCUGACUGCUGCUUCCUCCAGGCAGCCUUCUGGAUUACUCCCUCCGUCUUGUGUCUGAGCUGCUACCCUCCGAUCUUUUAACCACCCAAGAAGUUAAACCAUCCUUGCAGUGUAUAUAUGCCGUGCAAUUUCACCUUGGGUUUUAUUCUCGUGUAGUAUAUUCUGGAUUGCUGGACUUUGCAGCUCAACAUACAGGACACCAAGUUAAUUUGAAUUUCAGAUUAACCCUGAAUAAAAUUUAGUAUGAGUAUGUCCUGAACCUUAUGUAUCUGGCAACACUAUUUAUAGUCUUUCAAUCUUGACUUUUUUUUUUACUGGAAUACAUGCUCCUUUAGGAUAUGAGCUGCCACGUAGGAGUUCCCUGACAGCAGGUUAAGGAUCUGGUGGUGUCACUGCUGUGGCUCAGCUUGCUGCUGUGGUUCGGGCUUAACCCCUGGCCCUGGCACUUCCAUGUGCCAUGGACAUGGUCUUGAUUAAAAAGAGAACAACAACAAAAAAGAACUCAGAAGAUUCUAGAUUCUCGAAUUUCCCCAGCGCCAUCAGCCUAGUGCUGUCAACAGCCUUACCUCUGAGUAACAGCCGUCACCUGUCUUCCCGUAGUCGCCCCCCUACUAAAAGCUCCCCCUGGAUUCUUUCCCCUCCUGGGGGAGGGCUGUGAUUAACGCAACCUGAGGCCCAGGGAGGCUGUGACUUGCCCAAGGCUCUGUAGCCGGUAAACCUCCCGGGUGGUGCACCAGCCCCUGGGCUCUCCCUGCCUGAGGGUGGUGGGGGUCUCAGCCCUGCCGCUGGCGAGCCGUGCCCUCUGCUUCGCACCCCAGGCCUCCCACCAGGACGGAAGCCUGGGUCAGAUCCAAUAGCAAAGGGGGGGUACCAGUUCGGAGCUCAAGAGAGGGAGGCGUGAAGCCAUCCUUUGCCAUUUGCUAGCCGGAUGGCCUGAGGCGACACUGUUCAUCUCCAAGAGUUGUAGUGUCCACUGCAAACCUUACUCUCGUGCCGCCGUGAGGAUUAAACUAGACAUGGCACAAACACAGCCUUCUCUACCAGCUUGAGGUCACGGCUCAACAAAUGGGGCCCAGGGCCCGGUCACUGCCGCCCUCCGGCUGUUUCUCACUCUGCCUUCAGGACCUACCCCGGCCUGUGACCAGGCCCUGAGGGACGGAGAGUGGCCCCUGAAGGCAGGCAACUUGUCCCAUCUCCUCCCUCCUGCCUCCGUCCCUCUAGCCCUCACCCUGAGUCCCACCCCAGGAGUCUCCAUUUAUCUUCCAGACCCUGCGCUGCAGGGGUCCCUGCCGCGCCCAGGGCACUCCAUGCCCCACAGCUUCCCUGCAACUGCAGCUGGGUGCUCGGUGCGCGGUGCGCCCUGUGUACCCCAGGUGGAGGCUGUCCGGCAGGCGUAGGUGAGGGGGGCUGGCCUGCAGGUGUGACCCCGAUGGUGUUGGAGGCUGGGCCGUAGGUCCCCACCCCCUUCUUGGUGAUCUCAGUGGCCCCACCGCCCCAGAGAGAGGAGCUGAUGGACGGUUGUACCCCCGGCGAGUGGUGCCUUAUGAGUACUUGGCGGCCUCUGGGGACAACCUCCAGGACUUUGUGGGCCGUCUCGGUUAGCAAGCUGACUGCUGGAGGGUGAAACAGUCCAAGGAGGAAGGAAACCAAUAUUGAUCAAGUACCUUAGGAAAAUGCUGGAGUUCCCGUCAUGGCCCAGUGGUUAACAAAUCUGACUAGGAACCAUGAGGUUGUGGGUUCGAUCCCUGGCCUUGCUCAGUGGGUUAAGAAUCCGGCGUUGCCGUGAGCUGUGGUGUAGGUUGCAGAUGUGGCUCGAAUCCAGCGUUGCUGUGGCCCUGGUAUAGGCCAGUGGCUACUGUUCCGGUUAGACCCCUAGCCUGGGAACCUCCAUAUGCUGUGAGGAGCGGCCCUAGAAAAGGCAAAAAGACAAAAAA